UACGUAGGGUGCGAGCGUUGUCCGGAAUUAUUGGGCGUAAAGAGCUCGUAGGCGGCUUGUCGCGUCGGAUGUGAAAGCCCGGGGCUUAACUUCGGGUCUGCAUUCGAUACGGGCAGGCUAGAGUUCGGUAGGGGAGAUCGGAAUUCCUGGUGUAGCGGUGAAAUGCGCAGAUAUCAGGAGGAACACCGGUGGCGAAGGCGGGUCUCUGGGCCGUAACUGACGCUGAGGAGCGAAAGCAUGGGGAGCGAACAGG
rnacentral:rRNA from 1 species